CUUCGUACUUUUCCACAGCUUUCUUGAACUGCAUGGGUCUAUAUCCUACUCAGAAGCUACCCCAGUGUUAAGAAAGUUGGGACUGUGCCUACUGCGGUUCAAUAAAGCUGUGGGAAAAUACGGAUA
rnacentral:pre_miRNA from 1 species